rnacentral:misc_RNA from 1 species
AAGAGGAAAGUUCAAGGGCAAGCCCACUGGUCAGCGCCACUUCUCCACUCCUGAAGAGAUGCGUAAGCCCCCGGGAAACUUCUCUCUUCUCCUUUUUUUUUCCCUUAGAAAAUACAUAAGAGUGGAAGGGACUAAAAUUCUGAUGCUAGUUCAAGGUUGUUAAAAUUCAAGUUGGAUUCGGAAUUCAACAACUUGUACUAGAGGACUGGGGUUUUCUUUAGUAUGUGAAUGAUUUUUCGUUUAACUACAAUACAAUAUAUCGUGUUGUGAUUAGGAAAAUUGAUAGUUAACACCUGGUAAUUUUGCUUCUAGUCUUAGUUGUGGACGCCUUUUCCCUUGAGAUGAUAUGUGGAACCGUGAUUCUGGCUGUAAAACGUUUUCCGUCGGGUAAUAGGCUAAUAGAUAUUAGUUUUGAUGAAAGGCAGAAAACAGUAGAAAUAUAUUUACUCAGUGGGGCUACAAUUUGUAAUAGAGCUUCCAACAUUUAACUUUCACUGCAUAAAAGUUUUGGUUUUGUUGUAUGAAAAAGAAGUAUGUCUAGCUUUAUUGUGAAAUAAGGCCAUAUUUGGUACGAUAUAAUCUCGUGAUUAUAUUGCGCAUUUGAUUGCAUUGCUUAAAAAUCAUUACAUUUACUUAUUUUUGAUUUUUUUUUUCAUUUAUUGUCAA